AGCGUGCAAAAGAGACAGGAGCCUCCUCACAUGACCCUCUCCCGGCUGCGUCUUUGGAUGGCUGCAAGUGGGGAAUGGGCAGGGAGGGGCCACGGCGUGGAGACAGACAGACCGAGAGACAGGCAGCCACAAGGGGGAGGACCGCGCGCGCUCUGCAGCUGCGCCCGCCGCUACCGGCGCCGUUUCCCGGGGCUUCUCCUCCUCUCCCCCAUGGGUCGCCCCGGCGCCGCCCUUUGGAGACCGUGAGGGGUCCAGCAUGGAAGAGAACAUUCUUCUGCUGCCCUUCAAAGCUCCCGGGGCGGCUUGCAAAAGCCGGGAAAACAAUAUCGAGUGAAACGAUAACAUAGAGCACAGCAGAAGAGUGAAACCCAAGUGGAGUGAUUAUAAACCACAAGGCAGCGAAUAGCUGGCUUUUUGUUGGCCUGUUUCUCUGACUUUUAAACUUUCUAUUGGCAGUGUUGUGUACAUUUUAAAAAGGUUGUUUUAUGAGGGGUGGUGGUGGU